AUAGCAAGUAGGAUAACAGUUUUAUAACAACAUCAACAAUGAAGAUAUACAUAACUUUGAAAAAUAGCACAAGAAGCUAAUCUUUACGUUGCUCACUUUUAGCAAGUCCUUCAGCUAAACCUGUAUAGUAGCCCGCAUAGUACCAGCUCAUGAUAAGCUUUUUGUAAGUCUCGUCUAAAUCAUUAUGUUAAUAAUAGAGAGUCAUAAAUUUUCUUAGAAGACCUUUUACUUACCAUAUGUUAACCCUCUUAUAGGGGGAGGAACUUCCAUAAACUCUUGAUGUGUCUCUGCUGCCCUUGUUUCAGGCUUUUCGUCGCUAAGGCCUUUAUUAUCUGCAAACUGUUGGAUAUGUGUAUCUCCUUCCAAUGUCGUCUCUGUUUGCUGAUUUAUCAUCUGCUCACCUUCUUCUAGCUUACUUAUUGAUUCUUCUGUCCGUGCAGCUGAAAUUAAUUUUUCACCAUCUAGCCUAGAAUCCGGGUCCGAUACUCCUCCCUUUGCUUCAAUACUAUGAUACUUUUUGAAUUCAUGUAAAGCGGUUUCAAAGGCAUUUCUGAGCUCUGAAUCAUCCCACACUUCUUUUUGGCUCUGGUCCAUUUUUGGUACAAGUUGUAGAUAAUCUAUUCCUGUAUGUCUUUCUUUGUACCUUAAGAAAGCUUUAUUAACAAGUAGUUUCCAACUUUGUUAACUCUUAUAUUAAUUGAAUAUUAUUAAAGUGAAAAUAUUGUUUAUAAAGCACAACGCGUAUAACGAUAAACAGUUUGAGCUCGGCGAUUCCGCUUACUACAACAAUUAUAAUCUGCUGUGGUAACUUAGCUCCUUGCCUUAACUAUCAGCCGCCUUAGUGGACAGGACUACAAGAAUUCGAGGUCAAAGAUAUAACGAGGUUCGCACAUGGCGAUGUGAACUCGUGGAAGUAUUGUGAAAGAAUGUUUAUUCCAAUUCAUCUUUGUUUACGAUUUUGGCUUUAUUAUACCAAAAAGAAAAAGGAAUUGUAUAAGCUACAAAAAUCAACCUAAAUCAGUUAUCUAAUAUCCACACGAAUAAUUCAUUAAAUGCUACAUGCGCUAAUAUGGUUUAGCGAGGACUUCUCAGUAAGUUAGCUUUCUGGGAUAGA